UCAAAAUUAACUGUGUCCUACAAACAAAAC
rnacentral:piRNA from 1 species